rnacentral:rRNA from 1 species
GACAGAGGGUGCUAGCGUUGUUCGGAAUUACUGGGCGUAAAGGGCGCGUAGGCGGCCCGCUAAGUUCGGUGUGAAAUCCCCCGGCUCAACUGGGGAACUGCGCUGGAAACUGGCGGACUCGAGUACCGGAGAGGAUAGUGGAAUUCCCAGUGUAGUGGUGAAAUACGUAGAGAUUGGGAAGAACACCAGUGGCGAAGGCGGCUAUCUGGACGGUUUCUGACGCUAAGACGCGAAAGCGUGGGGAACAAACAGG